rnacentral:rRNA from 1 species
GACGAACGCUGGCGGCGUGCCUAAUACAUGCAAGUCGACCUUAGUGGCGGACGGGUGCGUAACACGUGAGGAACCUGCCUUUCACCGGGGAAUAACACUGGGAAACCAGUGCUAAUACCGCAUAUGAAAGAUGGCCUCGCGCCUGAUUAACUAGUAGGUGAGGUAACGGCUCACCUAGGUGAUGAUCAGUAGCCGACCUGAGGUGGUGAUCGGCCACACUGGGAUGGAGACACGGCCCAGACUCCUACGGGAGGCAGCAGUAGGGAAUCUUCGGCAAUGGACGAAAGUCUGACCGAGAAACGCCGCUUGAGUGAAGAAGGUUUUCGGAUCGUAAAACUCUGUUGUUAGAGAAGCGGUAUCUAACCAGAAAGCCACGGCUAACUACGUGCCAGCAGCCGCGGUAAUAC